GUCUCUGCCACUUUAAGGGCCUGGAGCUGGCAGCCUCCAGGUGCCUGAUUAGGGCAGCCAUUUUGAGGCUUAGGCUGCUUAUAUAAACCAGGCAGUUUGGCUGCAGGAGGUCAGGCAACAACAUUGCCUGGCCAUAGGGCUGCUGUGAAUGACCUGGAGGUAACAAGAUUCUGAUUUUCCAGUGCCUUAUAUAUCUAUUCCAAUGGGAAUGAAAAAUUACAUCAGCAUUAAACUAUAAAUAAGGUGUGACAGUGCAUCCCGCCGAAUAACAAAAAUGUGGUUGUAAGCAUCAAUUAACAGAACAUGGAAGGAAGCCUUCAGAUGAAGAAUUUGGAACAAAAACAGGAUAAAACCUCAGGCCCUGAGUUCUAGGAUGAAGUAAUGUCUGCAGGUACCCAUUGCUUACAGCUCUGAAGAAAGUCUCCUGUAUGUGCCAAAGAUGCAUGGGUGUGCUGGUGAGACAGCUGGAUGCCAUAGCUCAUGACCUAACAAGUGAGUGGAAGGACUACAGGAUUGCACUCGGAAAGGGGUGACUGAGCAUAGCCAGUCACAUGAGAAGGUGAACAAUAGAGAGGUUGAAAGGAAGUCAAAAGUGCAGCCCACUAAGUUACCAUUACAAUACCAAAUGCAUAUUUUUUGUUCAAUUAGAUUUCUGCCUUUAAAGAAAUCUUUUCAAGACAGCAAAUCUGAAAACUAGAUUCCAUAAUGACUGUCCUUUAUUUUCAUAAAAACUAUACUUGACUGUGCUUAAGCUUGAUAGACCAAAGCCUGUGCGUGAUACCAUAGAAUAUGUGUCUAUCAGUAGCUGCCAGAAUGGCUACAAGGAGUUUUAACAAUAUAUUGAGGUGAAAGUUAAGCAGGCAUUGAAACAAACUGAUUAAAAAAUUACUUGUUUGCUAAAAGUGUGUGAAACUUGCACAAUUUCUACAAUGUUCAUUUCCAUAAGGGCUUGAUUCAGACCCAUUUUUUGGCACCAGCAAGAUUCCUGCUGCCUUUAGUGAUUUUUAGAUGAGGCCUUACCUGCUCAACGUAAAUCCAUCAUAAACCCUUCUGACCAUAUGUUUAAAGAUGUCCCUCCUGUUGUCUGCCUCUGGGAAAGAAAAGAAAGUCUGCUUAUUGUCUACUUUCUGUACCAAAAACUGGAAACAUAGAGGUCACCAAUAAAAAGUCAUCUGUUACAAUAUGGUAUUUCAGUUCCCAAAGCAGUUUCCUUUAUUAAUAACAAGAUUUUGGUGCAAUACUGGCCAGGGGAUAAGAGCAAAUGUGCUCUCUGUGACAGCAGUCCCUGUAGAGCUGAUUGUCAUCUGUCUGUUGAUGGCACUGCAGGCCAAAGUGCUUUUUGUUCCUCAGAAGGAUGUGCCUGCACUUCUUUAAGUCUUUUUAGAGUUUGCUAAAAGUUAGUAGCUAGGCUGUUAUGAAUUCCUUUGCUAAGAAUAAUAUCCUCCAGGGGCUGGGAAGCGAUUUUAUUCCCUCGGACGUGGAGAAACUUCUGAUCUUAAAGUAGAAGAACAACAGGAAAACUUGCAACUAGUAUCUUAGUUUAAAAGCAUUGAAAAAAUAAACAGAGCUCCCCGAGACAGCUGUUUGAAGUGUAUCAGAUUACCUGUUUCCAUUAUUUCUCAAUCUGUGCAUCUCAGCAGAGUGUUCAGUACAACCACCCUAAGUGGAAAAGAAAAGCAAGAUUAUUGGAUGCAUACCUACUUUUGUCUGUUUGGGACUGGAUAUAAAUUACUCUCUUCACAACUGUGUAGCUGUAUGUUUUUUUUUA